GGCCACAUCACGUCGAAACAUUAGUUUCCGUACGAUCACUGAAGUUAAGCAAUGUCGAGACUGGUCACUACCUAAAUGGGUGAUCGCUUUGGAAUACCAGGUGUUGUAAG